UACAGAGGGUGCUAGCGUUGUUCGGAAUCAUUGGGCGUAAAGAGCGUGUAGGCGGCCCGGUAAGUCCGCUGUGAAAGUCCAGGGCUCAACCCUGGGAUGCCGGUGGAUACUGUCGGGCUCGAGUCCGGAAGAGGAGUGUGGAAUCCCUGGUGUAGCGGUGAAAUGCGCAGAUAUCAGGAGGAACACCAAUGGCGAAGGCAGCACUCUGGGACGUGACUGACGCUGAGACGCGAAAGCGUGGGGAGCAAACAGG
rnacentral:rRNA from 1 species